rnacentral:rRNA from 1 species
CAUGGCUCAGAUUGAACGCUGGCGGUAUGCUUAAGACAUGCAAGUCGAACGGAAUCCUUCGGGGUUUCAGUGGCGGACGGGUGAGUAACACGUGGGAAUCUACUCCAGUAGUGGGGGACAGCCCGGCGAAAGCCGGAUUAAUACCGCAUACGCCCUACGGGGGAAAGGCGCAAGCCGCUAUUGAAUGAGCCCGCGUAAGAUUAGCUAGUUUGGUGGGGUAAAGGCCUACCAAGGCGACGAUCUUUAGCUGGUCUGAGAGGAUGGCCAGCCACAUCGGGACUGAGACACGGCCCGGACUCCUACGGGAGGCAGCAGUCGGGAAUAUUGGACAAUGGGCGCAAGCCUGAUCCAGCAAUACCGCGUGUGUGAAGAAGGCCUGCGGG